AGAGUUUGCUUCUGGCUCAGGAUGAACGCUGGCGGCGCGCCUAACACAUGCAAGUCGAACGGAUAAGACGCCUUCGGGCGUGGAUAGAGUGGCGAACGGGUGAGUAACACGUGACCAACCUGCCCCCCGCUCCGGGACAACCGCUGGAAACGGCGGCUAAUACCGGAUGCACCGCAGGCCCCGCAUGGGACCUCCGGGAAAGCCCUCGCGGCGGGGGAUGGGGUCGCGGCCCAUUAGGUAGACGGCGGGGUGACGGCCCACCGUGCCCGCGAUGGGUAGCCGGGCUGAGAGGCCGAUCGGCCACAUUGGGACUGAGAUACGGCCCACACUCCUACGGGAGGCAGCAGUGGGGAAUCUUGCGCAAUGGGGGAAACCCUGACGCAGCAACGCCGCGUGCGGGAAGACGGCCUUCGGGUUGUAAACCGCUUUCAGCGGAGACGAUUAUGACGGUACCCGCAGAAGAAGCUCCGGCUAACUACGUGCCAGCAGCCGCGGUAAUACGUAGGGAGCGAGCGUUAUCCGGAUUCAUUGGGCGGUAAAGCGCGCGUAGGCGGAUGCCUAAGCGGGACCUCUAACCCGGGGGCUCAACCCCCGGCCGGGUCCCGAUCUCGGUGUCUAGAGUGCGGUAGGGGCAGGUGGAAUUCCAUGUGUAGCGGUGGAAUGCGCAGAUAUAUAGAAGGACCCCGGCGGCGAAGGCAGCCUGCUGGGCCGACACUGACGCUGAGGUGCGAAAGCGCGGGGAGCGCACAAGAUUAGAUACCCUGGUAGUCCGCGCCGUAAACGAUGUAAAAGGGGUGUGGGGGAGCGUUUCCCACCGUGCCGAAGCCAAACGCAUUAAUCGUCCCGCUGGGGGAGUACGGCCGCUAGGCUAAAACUCAAAUGGAUUGUCGGGGACCCGCACAAGCAGCUGAGCAUGUGGCUUAAUUGGAAGCAACGCGACGAACCUUACCAGGGCUUGACAUGCAGGUGAGCCCCGAGAGAUCGGGGGGCCUAGCGGAGCCUGCGCAGGUGGUGCAUGGCUGUCGUCAGCUCGUGUCGUGAGAUGUUCGGUUAAGUCCGGCAACGAGCGCAACCCCCGUCGCGUGUUGCCAUCAUCAGGUUGGGCACUCGCGCGAGACUGCCGGCGCCAAGCCGGAGGAAGGUGGGGAGGACGUCAAGUCAUCAUGCCCCUUACGCCCUGGGCCGCACACGUGCUACAAUGGCCGGCACAGAGGGUUGCCACCCCGCGAGGGGGAGCGGAUCCCCAAAGCCGGCCCCAGUUCGGAUCGGAGGCUGCAACCCGCCUCCGUGAAGCCGGAGUUGCUAGUAAUCGCGGAUCAGCACGCCGCGGUGAAUACGUUCCCGGGUCUUGCACUCACCGCCCGUCA
rnacentral:rRNA from 1 species